UAAAUAUCUAAAUAACGUAUUUUAUUUGCCAAACAAUUUAUUUGUCAACAUUAGAAAGUACCCUGUGCUCACCGAAUGUUACGCCUAUGGUGUCGUAGUAUAAUAUGUGUCGUUAGAGGCGCUACAGUCAACCUUGAUGGUAUGGCGCAAGGUAAUUUGAACAUUCCCUGUGUUGAUUACAAUCAACAAACAGUAGUUAGAGCACAGCAAAUGUUUGAAGAGAAUUGUUUAGAAGAAUUUUUUGUCUUUAACGUGGUAGCCCACAAAUGUCCAGGGCAGACACCGUGUCGUUGGAUCGUGUCCUAUAAAUUUAGAGACCCAAAUCGCCAAUAUGAAGGGGGGCUGUUUGCCAAACAAAUCGUGAGAAGGUUUGAUGCCAGAAAACCUCGAGGAACAAAUCUUAUGAAGCCAGCGAUUAGCCUCAAGAUAUGUGCUAAUGAUGGCCCUUGCUAUGUUUUAAUAUACGGCGUUCUUUGUGAAUGCGAACAAAUUCAAAUGCCUUAUUUUGGCGUUGAUGACGACGGUCCGGUUUACAUUGAUGCAAUUAAUGUUGGGACAUAGAGAACAUAUAUAUUUUUUAGUAACAUUUUUAAAAUUUCCAUCUUGUACUGUUUAGUUGAUUUAUUUAUAUUAAAGUUUACCAUAUACUUGA